rnacentral:lncRNA from 1 species
UACGCGCUGUCUGACAUGACGUUUGAGGCAGAAACAUGGGCCUUUGAAGAGGACGCCGAUGCUCAGCCGGAAGCAGGGCAGGUUGCUGAGCAAGGGGUACGACCAGGGCCUCUGCAUUGAUCAGAACCACAAGAACUCGUCUGCUCUGGACACAGGUGUGUCGCCAAUGCUGGACACAAGAAAAGCAGCCCCCGAAGAUUGCUGAGUGAAUACUUCCGGUGACCCCAGGACCAGUUUUAGAGUUGUCAGAUCCUGUUAAUGACAAUUUUGCCCCAUCUGUUCCAAG